rnacentral:lncRNA from 1 species
UUCUUCUGGUACUGCACGGCUAUCAAAUUAUUCGAGUUGCCAGAUCCAUUGAAUUUGCCGGGUCAGUUCUGUCAGAAAGGUAAAACUCGAUGAUAAUUCUUCUGCCUCUUUUCUUUUUAUAGUUUUUUUUCCAUAUAACCCAUUUCUCAAGCUAUUCAACUUUUAUGUUUUAUUAUGUUUUAUUUUUAUUAAACUCCUAAAACUUUAAUUUAUAUUAUACUAAACUUUUAGAAUUUUGAUUAAUAUUGCACCGAGCUUUUAUAAUUCGCGAACAGCAUGUUUCAUUUAUUAAUUUUUUUGGUUUUUUAGAUGAUUAUAAAUGUAAGGAAUUUAGCAGAAAAUUUGCCAACUUAGUGAACAUUUAUCAUAAAAGGAAUCAAUAAAAGGGAAUUAACAAAUUCCAUACAGAGGUACUAUCACAACCAUAAAAGAAAAUUCUAGCCCACAACAAAAAUAGAAACAAUAAACUUUCUAAAAAAAAAUAGAAACAAUAAGAAUAUAAAAAAAUGAAUUGGAAAAAUAAACGAAAAGAGAAUGAGAAAGAAAAAAAGGAGGAAGCGACUAUAAUUUAGUCCAUUAGGAGUUCGUGUAAAUUAUCGUUAGUUACUAAAACAGGAAUUUGUUUGGCUGAAAAUUACGGAAUGUGCCAUCGUUUGGAGAAUAAAUAUACUCUAAUGACUUCUAAGCGGUUGAAUUCUUAAAUUUCUUUGCCAUAAUUUACUUGGAUUCUCAACAAACAACCAAUAAAUUGAUAAUAAUUAUAGUAAAUAAUUAAAAAAAAAAUAAGUUGGAAAACUUAAAGUUCAUUAAAAAGGUAGGUAACAACAGUAAACAUAAUUUUGCUGAAGAUUGUUGAAUUGCGUUUUGAAAGUGUGUGGAUAGUUUGUGUGUUUGAUCUGUUAAUCCCUUGAUGUCGUUAUCCACUACUGUUGAUGCCCCCUUUAGUCUUCAAUUUAUAGAGCUUUUUAUGAUAUACUUCUCUUUUUCAGUCAAUAGAGCUCUAUUAUCCUAUUAUUUUGGAAUGUCAAACAGUUAUUGAUUUGGUGCUAAUUGAUAUUUAUGCUCUUAUAUUUGGCAUCACUUUCUGAUUCUUUUGCAAUUAUAUCUCUUAAUUUAUUAACUAAUUAAUCAUAAAAAAUUACGCUGUAUACGCUUUUCUAAAUAAUUACAAAAAUACUUUUAUUUUCACAUUCUUACAUUUUUACUUUUUCUCAUUAUAUUUUUACUUUUUUUUUUUUUUUUGAGAAAGUCAAUUUUCUAGCUCCUUAGUCUUCUUCACCGGUUAUGAAGCAUAUUCAAGGGCUGCAACAUUCCAGAUCUAAAUUUUAAGGGAUGGAGAAGCUAAUUCUGGCCUCAAAUCCGCCAAAAAUUCCACAAGUAUGCUGUCCAAGAAUGGCACCAAGAGGCGAUGACUUCUUCUCUUUGCUUCGCCGAUACCAGGUCGUUUCCAAUGAGACUGGUUUACACAUUGAAUGGCAACCGGAAAAGAAGAACAGAAGGGAGAGGGUGUGACGGUGAGAAAGAGAGCUGAUCAGGGAGAGAAAAGGCGAGUAGAGACUAAAAUAUAAUUUUUGCAAUAGUCUAAAUUACUUUUGGACAACUGAGAAGAUGUUGAAGUUGUUGUACUAAGAGCUACUCAAAUGGGUAAGAUAGUUGAGAAGGUUUCUCAAGAGAAGUUUUGGGUCAGCUCUUCUCUACUGCUGCCACCACUGCCCUGAGUUUCAAAUGGAUAAUGAUAAUUAAGAAAUUACAACUUAAAACUUCUGAUAUUUUUUGGGUUCUAUUUAGCUAUGAUUAAACUUUGGCUUAGAGGGUUUUGUUUUAUUUUAUUGAAGUUUUUAAUUUCCUUUUUGAAGUCUAAAUUGUAAGAUGAUAAAUGAUUGCAGAGCUAAAAAAGAGGUAGAGGGGACGAAGGUGAGAUUCCUGCUAUCUUUAAAGCCAUCUUGAAGAGAAAAUUAGUUGGAAUUUCUGUUUUUAAUUCUAAUUGUAAUUUUGAUGGUGAUAUAGAUUUAUGAGAUGCAAAGAAUUGUCUUUUUAGUCAAGAGGGAAAUAAAUAUCAUUAGUUAUAAGUGAAAAUGAUGAGACUGUAUUUUCAAGUAACUACGGUUGUAUGUAUCAGAAAUUGACUUCUUGUGUCUUUUAACAUAUAGAGUAGCAUUAAGGUUGUUUACUGAUGAUCAUUAAUAGCUUUGGCCUUUGGAUGCCUGUUUCGUUUUCUUUUUUAUUUUUUUGCUAUGUUUUUCUUUAGUCAGAUUGUAACUUUAAUUACAUAUUUGUUGACGCCACAAUGAAGCUAAGAAAAGCAGAGGUAAUGAUCUCAAAUAAUUUGUUAAGCAGUGGAUGUGAAGUUUAACAAUGUGCUGCUAUUGCAGGGAUCUAUGAUCUUGCAUAUACUUAUAAUCAACUGAUGAGAAGCAUUCAUGAAACCAUGAUCUUACAUGUAUUAUAAUCAACUGAUGGGAAGCAUUCAUGAAGCUCUUGGCAGGGACAUGGAGAGUGAGGUGUGUGCAUGUGGUGCGUAAAGCUAAUAGCUUUGCCUAUUGGUUUGCAAACAAAACUUUAAGUUGUAAUAUUGGAGUUCACGUGACUGAUAUUGAUUAGUUUUUUUUUCUUUGCUUCGAC